rnacentral:sRNA from 2 species
UUUUAGCCCCGAUAAAGGCGGUAUCCUUUUUUGAGACAAUUUUUCUUUGUCUCAAAAAAGAUAUAGCCGAAAGCGGGAAAUAGC